GAUGAACGCUGGCGGCGUGCCUAAUACAUGCAAGUCGAGCGAACAGACGAGGAGCUUGCUCCUCUGACGUUAGCGGCGGACGGGUGAGUAACACGUGGAUAACCUACCUAUAAGACUGGGAUAACUUCGGGAAACCGGAGCUAAUACCGGAUAAUAUAUUGAACCGCAUGGUUCAAUAGUGAAAGACGGUUUUGCUGUCACUUAUAGGUGGAUCCGCGCCGCAUUAGCUAGUUGGUAAGGUAACGGCUUACCAAGGCAACGAUGCGUAGCCGACCUGAGAGGGUGAUCGGCCACACUGGAACUGAGACACGGUCCAGACUCCUACGGGAGGCAGCAGUAGGGAAUCUUCCGCAAUGGGCGAAAGCCUGACGGAGCAACGCCGCGUGAGUGAUGAAGGUCUUCGGAUCGUAAAACUCUGUUAUUAGGGAAGAACAAAUGUGUAAGUAACUAUGCACGUCUUGACGGUACCUACUCAGAAAGCCACGGCUAACUACGUG
rnacentral:rRNA from 1 species